UUGCUUUUAGUCCACACUUCACAGGAAUAAAAUUCAUGACUAGGCCCAGUUCUUCAGUACCCCAAGAGCUGUGGCGGUCCAACGUCAGACCCCACCACAGUUCGGGGGGGGGAGGCCUAGUUCUUCAGUUGAGAGUGGUGAGACCUUGGAUGGAGAAAGGAAAACACCAUGCUGAGACUAAUCCUACCUGUCGCCUGUAGGACUAGGAUCAACACUAGGCAUGCCUACAUUAGGCUACAGUACACGGCAUGGCCCAAUUCUCUGGAUCUGGAUGAAUACUCUGAAAAGCUCUAAAUGAGCAUCACUCAGAAUGGAACGGGGGAGUUGUUCAGUACAGCUGUAGAUGGUUUUGCAGUGCUGUUUUGAAGCUAGAUAUCUUCUCAAUAGAAGUCGUGUGUUUUGGCAGCUUAUUCCAAUCUCUUGCCAUCUUUCUUAGGAAAUAAUGAAUGAAGAUGGGAUUGUGACACAGACUGUGGAAGGCAGGCACAUGGCUGUAGCAUGAAUACAAAUCUUCCAAGCUAGUUUUGACACUCUUUAGCAUACCUGUAUUAAAGUACACAUAUUUCCAGAAUUCUGACAAUGCAUGUACUGUUCAUGUAAACUUACUGACAGGAGAUGCUUGGCGUUGUAAUUUGGUAAGGCCAGGCACUUGGAUGCAUCAUUAAUUACCGUAGAUGAGAAGGCAAAAUCCCAGUCUUUCUUGCCAGACUGACAAACUUUGGCAUAUAAGUAUUUCCAGAAUUCUGACACUUUAUUUGUAUACAAACAUCCUGUAUGUUAGCCUAUUAAGCCUGACACAAAAGUCAAUGAAAAACUUGGUUCUUGAUAUACUAGUAACUUCUGUGUUAAGUUGUUGUCAGUUGAUGUGGAGAUCAGUGGAUUUUCAAAAACUCAGAUUUGAAUUUAGACUCAGACCUUCUGGACUUCGACUCAAACAAUGAGAACAUAGCUACCAGGACUUGGCCCAAGCCCCCCUCCCUGAUUUUUAACUUUAUCUAACCACAUAAGACUGGUGGUCUAUGCGUUUAUAUGUCUGUGGUGCCGUGGCAUGUGCAAGAUGGGAAAACAGGACACGACAAGGUUUUGAACACUCCUCGGUUUAGAAGUGUCCGUUUUGCACUGAAGGAAAAACAACAUUGGAAAAUUGAGCCAAAAUGAAAAUUUCAUUGGAAAGUGGGAGGAGGUCAUUAAGAGAAAAUGAUGGAGCAAGGAGUGGCCAAUGAGUGGACAGCAUCAGUGGAGAGCACAGAACUUGACUCUGACAAGUUUGGCCUCAAGAAAAUGAUGAAGUUGACUCUGAUGUUAGCCGUAGCACAGACAGUGAAGAUGUGGGAAGGCCUCAUUGCCAGGUGAAUGUACUGCCAUGGAUGUCUUACAUGAAUGUUGAGGCUAUCUAGCAUCAUGGUGCGAGUGGACUGACCGAUGAAAUCUCCAACGUGAAGAGGCAGGUUACGUCAUAAGUAGCACAGACUUCCUCAUAUGAAAGCUGUGGGUAUGCCCCAGGGGAAGUAGACCAUGAUGCUGAUGAGAAGAGCGCCAUCCCCUCCUUCAGCCUGGAGAGAGAGAAGAUGGAGGACAAGAUCCUAUUGGACUUCACAGAGAUGGUUCAUGAGAAUGUCAAGGAGAGGAAGUAACU